CUAUGGCAAUGUUGCUUUCCUGAUUCCUUUACUUCUCAAUUAAUUUUGAUAUGAAAAUCUGACAAUGCACAUUAUGUACACUGUACACUAUUCUCUUUGUGGGGCUGGAAUUCCGUAGGAGUGUCUUCCCAACUUAUAUGUGGUCCACUAGGGUGCUUUUAAAUGACAGCAUCCAUUAUCAACUGGAAUACUGAGGCAUUUUCCACAACACCAGUUUUCCUCCUUGGAUUAAGCAUUGUGCAUUUGCAUUUAAAGGUAAAUUCUGCAAAUAGAGGUCUUGUUUUUCUAUAGCUAUCCUCUGUGCUAGUCUUUGGGGGACUUUGACCUAUGGCUCAAUCACUAUACUGCCUUCUGGUUUUUUAUCGUUGUCCAGAGAAUAACAGAUCUGUGUGAAACGCACAGCAGAAUCUGAUUCUCAUAAUGUUUUCUUUUACAUAAUUGCAGAUAACAGCUCAGAAAGAAAGCGACCUGACGCUGGAGAGUCUAAGUGACGAGGAGAUUCAUCCAGAGUGAAGCCCUUCUGUGGAGCUGACCAGGGUGCUGGCCCAAAGGACAGGCCAGCGCGUGCUACAGAGACAUCUGAGGGAGGAUCAAGCUCUGCAAUCAGCGGUCUUCCCUGGCUUGGCCUAGAGAAAUGAUGGCGACUUUCCUGUGAUUCCUAGGCUCCCCUCCUGGACAGCACCAGGAAUGUGCCUUCGAGGCGGCUGGGCUUCAGGCCAGCCUGGGGGCGUGCUUGGGUGACUUUGGAGAAUGCAGCUGUUUGCUGGGAAGAUCUUAAGGAGGAAACCAGAACCUCUCCCUGUCCCGAACUCUCAUCCUUGGAGGAGCCUGUUAGGACAGAGUCUUCCUCAGUUAUAAGAACCUGCAUCGGGUUUCGCCUUUUGCCUUUCUUCUUGCCAUCCACGAUGCGGAUGGGGUAGACCUGGCUGAGCAGAACCACAUCCAGCCACACCCCAUGGGUCAAUCCCUGGAAUUUCUGAAACCUGGGUGGUGCCUGGUGCAGCUGAGUUCCUUCCUUCCCCCAGCCCAAGUUCCUGCCCCCAGCAUUGUCCCUGGAGGUCUCAGUCCUGCUGUCUACAUUCUGAGGAAAACUCUUGGCCCCAGCAGGGAGCAAAACUCCAAGGCCACCUGCCACCCACCCCCUGUAACUGUGCUCCGGGAACAGAAAGUGCCAUUCCAACUUGAAAUAAAGAGACUGAGCGCAUUUA